GUUUCUUCUCCAAAAUCCCUGGUUCAAUCAUGGAUAAGAGCAUGUUAGCUGGUUUUGAAUCACUUCUAGAAGCUGAUCAGCAAAGAAUGGCAUCCAUGAUGGAAUAGGUUCAAAUUUGUGACAGUGCUAAAAAACAUGAUCACUAUUACUCACUUGCGGAAGAUUUUCUCGAGAUUACACCUCGGAAGACAAUUGGAGAAUUGAAGGAAUGUAAAGAGGAUGGUGAUUAUGCUGUGUAUGGUACAAUUAUGGGAGUGAUUGGUGGAUCUGAUUGGUUUGUUGCUCAAUGUAAAUGUGGCACUGAAGUUGUUCUAAAGCAUGGGUCAUACUAUUGUGAAAAGUCUUCAAAGCAUGUUGAUUUGUUUUCCUUGAAGUUAUAGUGUUGGUAUGAGGUUUAUUUAUGUUGAUUAUUUCAUUUGUAUAUAUUAUAAAAACAGGUAUAGAAUUAAGGUGAAAGUUAUUGAUUCCUCAGGGAGUGCAACCUUUGUCAUAUUUGAAAAGCUUGGAUGCCUUUUGCUAUAUAAG